rnacentral:rRNA from 1 species
AUUGAACGCUGGCGGCAGGCUUAACACAUGCGAGUCGAGCGGGGUGAUGGUGCUUGCACUAUCACUUAGCGGCGGACGGGUGAGUAAUGCUUAGGAAUCUGCCUAUUAGUGGGGGACAACAUCUCGAAAGGGAUGCUAAUACCGCAUACGUCCUACGGGAGAAAGCAGGGGAUCACUUGUGACCUUGCGCUAAUAGAUGAGCCUAAGUCGGAUUGGCUGGUUGGUGGGGUAAAGGCCUACCAAGGCGACGAUCUGUAGCGGGUCUGAGAGGAUGCUCCGCCACACUGGGACUGCGACACGGCCCAGACUCCUACGGGAGGCAGCAGUGAGGAAUAUUGGACAAUGGGGGGAACCCUGAUCCAGCCAUGCCGCGUGUGUGAAGAAGGCCUUAUGGUUGUAAAGCACUUUAAGCGAGGAGGAGGCUCUUUUGGUUAACACCCAAGAUGAGUGGACGUUACUCGCAGAAUAAGCACCGGCUAACUCUGUGCCAGCAGCCGCCGUAA